rnacentral:lncRNA from 1 species
UUUAUUUUUGUUUUAAUUUCGUAAUAGUAAUUGGAGAUUAUACAUAAGUCUCACAAUAACGAAUAAACUACAACCCUCAGGUAAUCAUUAAUAUGGUCACAAAAGUAUAUUCGGACUAUGCUGUGAGUAGUUAGAGUAAGCUGAACACUACCACCUAGUGGUAACAUAACCUUUUUUUUUUACUGGACAAAGCUGGAUUUGAUUUAAAACUACUCUUUAAAAUUUAUUAAUAAAUACACAAUCUUGACUGCUGCCUCUAGUGAAGUUUAUUUGCAUGGUCGUAUGGUAAUAUUUUUAUUUACUUGAGCUUUGUUGUCGUGUUCAUAUGAAGUCGUGUAAAAUGCGUGCAGGGAGGCAAUAGAGCGGCACUCCAUGUGCACACAGAUUGGUCCAAGCUUGGAUUAACUGCCCUGUAGUUUGAUCCCACUGACAUCUGAAGCCUUUUGGAGGGAUCUGCCUGCUGUCUGAGUAACACUCAUGUUCUCAAGACGCUUCUGUAUGUUGCAGGGACUUUCUGGAUGGUUUAGUGGUGUAAAUCUGCAUCCAGGCUGCAGUACACACUGACAAGGCGAGCACACUGAAGGAGAAGUCUGCCACUGCAGAGAACGGAUCUGUCCACACUGAUUCAGUCAAAGCUGAGCCACAGGUGUCUGCUGACGAGGAAGAAAGCUGAGAAGACCGGAAGAGGAGGAUAAGAGGGAGCUAGAGUUUCCUCAUGACCUGCUGCCC